AAAUAAUAACAAGAAGAAAAAAAAUAAACCAAAACAAUUUAAAAUUUUAUAACGUCAUUUCUGUCUCGAAGGUAAACAUAUUCAAAACAAAACAAAAAUAAAGUGUUGUGCUGAUAAAUAUUAAAUAGCCAGCCAGCUAGCCAGACACAUAACGCUAUAAAGUUGUUAGUUUCUGAAACUAUAAUUCAGGAACGUGUUUUUAAGCUUUUCAGACACUUGCUUUAAAAUUAGAAGAAAAAAAAAACGAAACGAAAAAUAACAAACAGCGGUGGCAGCAGCAGCAACACAAUGGAAAUCAAUGUAGUAUUGCACAAAAAAAAAAAAACAAACUUGUCAAACAAAGAGACGGUGGUAAAGAGAGUGUGCGAGCGACAUUGUAGAGAGCCAAUUAACAGUGAUGCCAAUGUUACGCGCAUCUGAAAGGUAAAAUCUAUCUAAAAUUAAAUCUAACCAUAUCACGAGACAAAGUACAAAAUAAAAUAAAAUCUUGUCAUCAAGCAUUUCUUUGAAUUGGUGGGGAGAGAUCUAAUGAAUAAAAUUGAUGUGGAAGCCAAUUAAUGGAUUAUGGAAGGACCCAUGAAUCGAUCUCAAUUAAUCGUCUUUUUCCGUCAACUCUUGAAAAACAUCAUUUACAUACACGAGAAAUAAGUUUUAACCAUUUUUUUACAUCAAAAAAUGCAGUUCCUCUUAAAGUUAUAAUAGCAGCAAGUGGCUAUUGGAAGACAACAUUGAAGCAUUUAUUCAUGAGUUACUGGACGAAGUGUUGCAAAGAGUGCGCCAAAAUUGGACUAAACGGAUAAAUCAUUUGAGGUGCAGUCGCGAUCAAUAUUUGCAUGAAAUAAUUUUUAAAUUUUAAUUUAUGUGGACCGUACUACCAAUUCAAAUGAAGAUUUCUUGCAUUUUUAAGAAUUUAGUUUUUUUACUCAUUUAUCAAUUUAUUUAUUAUUUUUUGAAAAACUUUUCUAUAAUUCUUAA